rnacentral:rRNA from 1 species
UACGUAGGGGGCAAGCGUUGUCCGGAAUUAUUGGGCGUAAAGAGCGUGUAGGCGGCCCGAUAAGUCCGCCGUGAAAGCCCAGGGCUCAACCCUGGGAUGCCGGUGGAUACUGUCGGGCUAGAGUUCGGAAGAGGCAAGUGGAAUUCCUGGUGUAGCGGUGAAAUGCGCAGAUAUCAGGAGGAACACCUAUGGCGAAGGCAGCUUGCUGGGACGACACUGACGCUGAGACGCGAAAGCGUGGGGAGCAAACAGG